UGAGGAAUAUUGGUCAAUGGGCGCAAGCCUGAACCAGCCAAGUAGCGUGAGGGAAGACUGCCCUAUGGGUCGUAAACUUCUUUUGUAUGUGAGCAAUAAGGUCCACGUGUGGACCGAUGAGAGUAGCAUACGAAUAAGCAUCGGCUAACUCCGUGCCAGCAGCCGCGGUAAUACGGAGGAUGCAAGCGUUAUCCGGAUUCAUUGGGUUUAAAGGGUGCGUAGGCGGCUUGGUAAGUCAGCGGUGAAAUUCCAGUGCUCAACAUUGGCCGUGCCGUUGAUACUGCUGGGCUUGAAUGCGGAUGCCGUGGGAGGAAUGUGUGGUGUAGCGGUGAAAUGCAUAGAUAUCACACAGAACACCGAUUGCGAAGGCAUCUCACGAAUCCGCAA
rnacentral:rRNA from 1 species